GACGGGCGGCCCCGCCCGCCCCCGCCGCGGGGCGGCACCGAGCGGGGGCUCCGCGAUGGAGCGGGGCCGGGCAGAGUCCGGGCACGGGAACGGUGGUGUCUGCAGGGGCCUUUGGGGCAGGACCCGCAGAGCCCCGCACCGCUCAGCCUGUUGUGUCCGCACCGCUCACCCUGCUGUGUCCGCACCGCUCAGCUCAGCCCCGCACCACUCACCCUGCCCCGCACCGCUCAGCUCCACACUGCUCACCCUGCUCAGCCCCGCACCGCCCAGCUCAGCCCCACACCACUCACCCUGCUCGGCUCCGCACUGCUCAGCUCAGCCCCGCACCACUCACCAUGCUCGGCUCCGCACUGCUCAGCUCAGCCCCGCACCACUCACCUUGCUCAUCCCCGCACGGCUCAGCUCAGCCCCGCACUGCUCACUCUGCUCAUCCCCGCACGGCUCAGCUCAGCCCCGCACUGCUCUCUCUGCUCAUCCCCGCACGGCUCAGCUCAGCCCCGCACUGCUCUCUCUGCUCAUCCCCGCACGGCUCAGCUCAGCUCCACACUGCUCACCCUGCUCAGCCCCGCACUGCUCACCCUGCUCAGCCCCGCACUGCUCACCCUGCUGUGCCCGCAUCUCUCUGCAUCGCCCCGCACAGCUUAGCUUAGCUCCACCCUGCUGUGCCCGCACCGCUCAGCUCCACACUGCUCAGUCCUGCUUAGCCCCGCAUGGCCCCACUUUGCCUCGCACGGCUCAGCUCAGCUCAGCUCCACACGGCUCACGCUUCUUGCUCCCGCACCGCCCAGUCCCGCUGUGCCCCGCAUCUCCCCGCAUGGGCCCGCACCGCUCAGCCCAGCUCCACAUUCUCACCCUGCUCGGCCCCGCACGCCCCGCACGUCUCCAUGGGCAGCAGUCGGGCCGGGAGCCCGCUGGCAGCGGCGGGGGGAAAACGCCUGGUGUGCGGCUCGGGACCACCCCCGUCCACCGCCCGCACCCCCCCGUUACGCGGGAUCGCUGGCGCGGAGCCGCACCGGGGGCGCGGGGCUGGGGCAGCCCCGGGGCCGGACUCGGCCCGUUGUUAUAGCACCGGGGGAAACAGCUGUAAACACGGCCGGGACACCGCGGGCCGCCCGCCCACCUUGGCCGGAGCUCCGCGGGAGCGGCUCAGCGGCCCGAGCACACCCCAGCGGUACGGACCGACCCCGGGGCUCUGCCGGCCCGGGGGUUCCGAGGCCAGGGGCACCCCCGCACAAGCGGCCCCGCGGCCGGUCCGGCUCUCCCGGGCCGGGAUGCUCCCGGGCACGCGCCCGCCUGACCUCCCGGUGAACCGGCACUGUGAGCGGGGGCUGCCCCGGGACCGGCAGUGCCGGGGGGGGUCCCCGUAGCCCCCGGCCCAGUGCGCCGCGCCGGCACCGUACCCCCCUCCGGGACCAGAGCGGCCACCGGUCGCCCGCCGGUGUCCCCGGGAUGCGCCCGGUGAUUGACGGCUCUUUGUUUCCUCCUCGCCGGCCCCGCCGGCCCCUCCCCCGUGCGCCACCCCGCCCCGCCGCGCUCCGCUCCGCA
rnacentral:lncRNA from 1 species